AUUUCCAUUAGCGAGCGAGUAAAUGACAUGAUGCAAAAGUGGGGUCAUCUGCAAAUUGAGUCUUGGCUUGUAACACCCAUACAGAUAUACUGUAUGGAUUACAUUAGUUCAUAGGUCAACAUUUCAUCUGGAGCACAAUAUGUAGGGCAGUGGUUGAGUGCUAGCUCAUUCAGACGCGAGCACUCUCCAGA